CGGGUGAGUAAUGCUUGGGAAUCUGCUUAUGGAGGGGGAUAACUACGGGAAACUGUAGCUAAUACCGCGUAGAAUCGGGAGAUGAAAGUGUGGGACCUUCGGGCCACAUGCCAUAGGAUGAGCCCAAGUGGGAUUAGGUAGUUGGUGAGGUAAAGGCUCACCAAGCCGACGAUCUCUAGCUGGUCUGAGAGGAUGACCAGCCACACUGGGACUGAGACACGGCCCAG
rnacentral:rRNA from 1 species